AUUGAACGCUGGCGGCAGGCCUAACACAUGCAAGUCGAGCGGAGCGGCGGACGGGUGAGUAAUGCCUAGGAAUCUGCCUGGUAGUGGGGGAUAACGUUCGGAAACGGGCGCUAAUACCGCAUACUAUUAGAUGAGCCUAGGUCGGAUUAGGUAGGUGGGGGGGUAAAGGCCAACCAAGGCGACGACCCGUAACUGGUCUGAGAGGAUGAUCAGCCACACUGGAACUGAGACACGGUCCAGACUCCUACGGGAGGCAGCAGUGGGGAAUAGUGCGCAAUGGGCGAAAGCCUGAUACAGCCAUGCCGCGUGAAUGAAGAAGGUCUUCGGAUUGUAAAGCACUUUAGGUUGGGAGGCGUUACCAACAGAAGAAGCACCGGCUAACUCCGUGCCAGCAGCCGCGGUAAUUC
rnacentral:rRNA from 1 species